CAGCAGCCGCGGGAAUACGUAGGGUGCAAGCGUUAAUCGGAAUUACUGGGCGUAAAGCGUGCGCAGGCGGUUUUGUAAGACAGAGGUGAAAUCCCCGGGCUCAACCUGGGAACUGCCUUUGUGACUGCAAGGCUAGAGUACGGCAGAGGGGGAUGGAAUUCCGCGUGUAGCAGUGAAAUGCGUAGAUAUGCGGAGGAACACCGAUGGCGAAGGCAAUCCCCUGGGCCUGUACUGACGCUCAUGCACGAAAGCGUGGGGAGCAAACAGGAUUAGAGACCCCUGUAGUCCCUGUCUCUUAUAC
rnacentral:rRNA from 1 species